rnacentral:rRNA from 1 species
UACGGGGGGGGCAAGCGUUGUUCGGAAUUACUGGGCGUAAAGGGCUCGUAGGUGGCCAACUAAGUCAGACGUGAAAUCCCUCGGCUUAACCGGGGAACUGCGUCUGAUACUGGAUGGCUUGAGUUCGGGAGAGGGAUGCGGAAUUCCAGGUGUAGCGGUGAAAUGCGUAGAUAUCGGGAGGAACACCUAUGGCGAAAGCAGCUGCCUGGGCCUCUAUUGACGCUAAGACUCGAAAGCUGGGGGAGCAAACAGG